rnacentral:lncRNA from 1 species
CCAGAGAGGGCACAUGUGCCUCAAUUGGCCUAUAGCAUAGGGGCUCAUUAUCCUUCCACCGCUGGUGGCGGGCGGUACUCGCUGCUCUAUGAAACCAGCCUCACGCAAUGUCCGCCACUUUAGGUGUUGGGAUGCAAAGGCUUUCGCCAAGGCACCCGAAACCCACUACAUAACUUGGAAUGGGUAGUCCACAGUUUGUAGCACUAGACCCAGGCACAUGCACCACAAUUGACAUCCACACUACCUUAUUGCCCCCGCUCGGGUUACAAGCAAUCGCUAUUUGCUCAGCGAGUGAGGGGGUUCAGGACUACCUAUUUAAGGUGGUGUUGUACUCUAUGAGCCGACGGUGUGGUAUUUACCAACAACAAAUAGUGUCAUGCAUGUGACUUGCUAGUUGACAAAGUCUGUUGUCGAGCUAGAUGUGGGCUAUGGCUGAAGCACAUUAGGAUAUAAUAUGCCUAUUUUGUUUUUUUGUUGUUUUUUGGGCCACGAUGGACAUUAUGUUGAUGUAGUGAAAUUUUUUCUUGUGUUUCCUCUUCCUACGAAGUGGAAAGUGGGUGCGUCAGAGAAGAAAGAAAGAGUGGCUAGCAUUGAUUUUACGUCAUCCCAUUGAGAUUACUAAUCAAAAGCAGAAGCAACAAUAUUUCAUGCAUAUACAACACUUGUAAUCCAUAUAAACAACUUUCCUUUAAAAUAUAAUAUAAACCACAUGAUUUAUAUCCUAGGUCGGAUAUCUCCACAAAGGGCAUGAAAACGCUCCUAGGUUUGUAGUAUAGAACUAAGAGUGUCUACUCUCACGAUUUCUUCCCGACAUAUGCAAACUAGACAGUAAUCACAUAAAAUAAAGAAAUAUGUGUUAACAUGAACUUAUAGCAUGUAUUUCAACCUAUAGAUUGUUGAUUAUUAUGGUAGAUUAUAUAAUAUAGGGGUUCCCGAAGAAAUACAUAAAAACCAAGAGCAUUAAAAUUUCCUUUUCAGAUUUGGCUAUCUGGUAAAAGGAGUUGGAGUAUCUGAGUUUCCAAAUUUGGGACGUAGCUCUAUAGAACGAAUAUAAAUACGUUGGAAAAAAUUCUACAAGGAAAGGUUUAAUACAAGUAGGGCUAAGAAAAACUCAAUGAGGCUUUGGUCGCAUGGUCACAAGACUUGAGACAAGAAACACGAAGACAACAAGGUAAUUAGUAUGAGAGUUUUCCAAAUUUGGUGUCUUGAUGUAGAAAAAAUAAAUAUAUGACAAACAUGUUUUUUGCAAGGCAUGGUAAAAUAAGUGGGAGUGAGCAAUAAAUUUUAUCAUAGAUUUAGAAGGAAUAAAUAUAUCACUAAAUACGUUUUUUCACAAUGCCAAGUUAAUCAGGCGGGACCGAGAAACAAUUGUAGUAAAGCUAGGUUGUACUAGCCCAAAACUACAUACAACAGAGGAAAAAUGAAGAAAAUGAUGGUCUACCAAAUAUGGCGCAUGAGCCUUAAGGUGCACCUAGAGGGAAGUAGAAGAAAUAAAUAUAUAAUAGGAUAUGUUUUUCGCAAAGCUAGGUGAAGUGUAGAUGUGCUCUAACUAGACUUAGAUUGCAGCGAUACAUUAUGCAUCCACAAGGCUUGGUUGCUCAUGGAAAAAGAUAGAGAGAGAAAUGUAGACGCAGGACCGGGAGAAAAACAUUCAAUGAGACGUGAUUGCACGGACAUAGAACUAGAUAUAAGACAAGAGUUAAAGAAAAAUAAAGGAACUAAAUUUUCUUCUGCACACUAAGCAUGAAUGGAGUUGUAGUAUCUGAGAUCAAAAUUUAAUUUAUUCCAAGAUGUAGAACAAAAACGUGAUACUCGUAAUGGUUACAUAGGAACAAAAGUAGAUAAGAAAAAUAGCAAAAAGAUAGUGGUCUACCAGAGAGGGCACAUGUGCCUCAAUUGGCCUAUAGCAUAGCGACUCAUUAUCCUUCCACCGCUGGUGGCGGGCGGUACUCGCUGCUCUGUGAAGCCAGCCUCACGCAAUGUCCGCCACUUUAGGUGUUGGGAUGCAAAGGCUUUCGCCAAGGCAUCCAAAACCCACUACACAACUUGGAAUGGGUGGUCCACAGUUUGUAGCACUAGACCCAGGCGCAUGCACCACAAUUGACAUCCACACUACCUUAUUGCCCCUGUUCGGGUUACAAGCAAUCGCUACUUGCUCAGCGAGUGAGGGGGGUCAGGACUACCUGUUUAAGGUGGUGAUGUACUCUAUGAGCCGGCGGUGUGGUAUUUACCAACAACAAAUAGUGUCAUGCAUGUGACUUGCUAGUUGACAAAGUCUAUUGUCGAGAUAGAUAUGGGCUAUGGCUGAAGCACAUUUGGAUAUAGUAGGCCUAUUUUGUUUUUUGUUGUUUUUGGGCCACUAUGGACUUUAUGUUGAUGUUGUUUAAUUUUUUCUUGUGUUUCCUCUUCCUACGAUGUGGAAAGUGGGUGCGUCAGAGAAGAAAGAAAGAGUGGCUAGCAUUGAUUUUACGUCAUACCAUUGAGAACACUAAUCAGAAGCAGAAGCAACAAUAUUUCAUACAUAUACAACAGUUGUAAUCCAUAUAAACAACUUUCCUUUAAAAUAUAAUAUAAACCACAUGAUUUAUAUCCUGGGUCGGCUAUCUCCACAAAGGGCAAGAAAACGCUCCAAGUUUGUAGUAUAGAACUAAAAGUGUCGAUUCUCACGAUUUCUUCCCGACAUAUACAAACUAGACAGUAAUCACACAAAAUAAAGAAAUAUGUGUUAACACGAACUUAUAGCAUGUAUUUCAACAUAUAGACUAUUGAUUAUUAUGGUAGAUUAUAUAAAAUAGGGGUUCCCGAAGAAAUACAUAAAAACAAGAGCAUUAAAAUUUCCUUUUCAGAUCUGGCUAUCUAGUAAAAGGAGUUGGAGUAACUGAGUUUCCAAAUUUGUGACGUAGCUCUAUAGAAGGAAUAUAAACACGUUGGAAAAAUUCUACAAGGAAAGGUCUAAUACAAGUAGGGCUAAGAAAAACUCAAUGAGGCUUUGGUCGCAUGGUCACAAAACUUGAGACAAGAAACACGAAGACACCAAGGUAAUUAGUAUGAGAGUUUUCCAAAUUUGGUGUCUUGAUGUAGAAAAAAUAAAUAUAUGACAAACUUGUUUUUUCGCAAGGCAUGGAUAAAUAAGUGGGGGUGAGCAAUAAAUUUCAUCAUAGAUUUAGAAGGAAUAAAUAUAUCACUAAAUACGUUUUUUUCACAAUGCCAAGUUAACCAGGCGGGACCGAGAAACAUUUCUAGCCAGGCUAGGUUGUACUAGCCCGAAACUACAUACAACAGAGGAAAAAUGAAGAAAAUGAUGGUCUACCAAAUAGGGCGCAUGAGCCUUAAGGUGCACCUAGAGGGAAGUAGAAGAAAUAAAUAUAUAAUAGCAUAUGUUUUUCGCAAUGCAAGGUAAAGUGUAGAUGUGCUCUAACUGGGCUUAGAUUGCAGCGACACAUUAUGCAUCUACAAGGCUUGGUUGCACAUGGAAAAAGAUAGAGAGAGAAAUGUAGACGCAGGACCGGGAGAAAAACAUUCAAUGAGACAUGAUUGCACGGACAUAGAACUAGAUAUAAGACAAGAGUUAAAGAAAAAUAAAGGAACUAAAUUUUCUUCUGCACACUAAGCAUGAAUGGAGUUGUAGUAUCAGAGAUCAAAAUUUAAUUUAUUCCAAGAUGCAGAACAAAAACGUGAUACUCGUAAUGGUUACAUAGGAACAAAAGUAGAUAAGAAAAAUAGCAAAAAGAUAGUGGUCUACCAGAGAGGGCACAUGUGCCUCAAUUGGCCUAUAGCAUAGCGACUCAUUAUCCUUCCACCGCUGGUGGCGGGCGAUACUCGCUGCUCUGUGAAGCCAGCCUCACGCAAUGUCCGCCACUUUAGGUGUUGGGAUGCAAAGGCUUUCUCCAAGGCAUCCGAAACCCACUACACAACUUGGAAUGGGUGGUCCACAGUUUGUUGCACUAGACCCAGGCACAUGCACCACAAUUGACAUCCACACUACCUUAUUGCCCCCGCUCGGGUUACAAGCAAUCGCUACUUGCUCAGCGAGUGAGGGGGUUCAAGACUACCUAUUUAAGGUGGUGUUGUACUCUAUGAGCCGACAGUGUGGUAUUUACCAACUACAAAUAGUGUCAUGCAUGUGACUUGCUAGUUGACAAUGUCUGUUGUCGAGCUAGAUGUGGGCUAUGGAUGAAGCACAUUAGGAUAUAGUAGGCCUAUUUUGUUUUUUGUUGUUUUUGGGCCACUAUGGACUUUAUGUUGAUGUUGUGAAAUUUUUUCCUGUGUUUCCUCUUCCUACGAUGUGGAAAGUGGGUGCGUCAGAGAAGAAAGAAAGAGUAGCUAGCAUUGAUUUUACGUCAUACCAUUGAGAACACUAAUCAGAAGCAGAAGCAACAAUAUUUCAUACAUAUACAACACUUGUAAUCCAUAUAAACAACUUUCCUUUAAAAUAUAAUAUAAACCACAUGAUUUAUAUCCUGGGUCGGCUAUCUCCACAAAGGGCAAGAAAACGCACCAAGUUUGUAGUAUAGAACUAAAAGUGUCGAUUCUCACGAUUUCUUCCCGACAUAUACAAACUAGACAGUAAUCACAUAAAAUAAAGAAAUAUGUGUUAACACGAACUUAUAGCAUGUAUUUCAACAUAUAGACUAUUGAUUAUUAUGGUAGAUUAUAUAAAAUAGGGGUUCCCGAAGAAAUACAUAAAAACAAGAGCAUUAAAAUUUCCUUUUCAGAUCUGGCUAUCUAGUAAAAGGAGUUGGAGUAACUGAGUUUCCAAAUUUGUGACGUAGCUCUAUAGAAGGAAUAUAAACACGUUGGAAAAAUUCUACAAGGAAAGGUCUAAUACAAGUAGGGCUAAGAAAAACUCAAUGAGGCUUUGGUCGCAUGGUCACAAAACUUGAGACAAGAAACACGAAGACACCAAGGUAAUUAGUAUGAGAGUUUUCCAAAUUUGGUGUCUUGAUGUAGAAAAAAUAAAUAUAUGACAAACUUGUUUUUUCGCAAGGCAUGGAUAAAUAAGUGGGGGUGAGCAAUAAAUUUCAUCCUAGAUUUAGAAGGAAUAAAUAUAUCACUAAAUACGUUUUAUCAAAAUGCCAAGUUAAUCAGGUGGGAGCGAGAAACAAUUCUAGCGAGGCUAGGUUGUACUAGCCCAAAACUACAUACAACAGAGGAAAAAUGAAGAAAAUGAUGGUCUACCAAAUAGGGCGCAUGAGCCUUAAGGUGCACCUAGAGGGAAGUAGAAGAAAUAAAUAUAUAAUAGCAUAUGUUUUUCGCAAUGCAAGGUAAAGUGUAGAUGUGCUCUAACUGGGCUUAGAUUGCAGCGACACAUUAUGCAUCUACAAGGCUUGGUUGCACAUGGAAAAAGAUAGAGAGAGAAAUGUAGACGCAGGACCGGGAGAAAAACAUUCAAUGAGACAUGAUUGCACGGACAUAGAACUAGAUAUAAGACAAGAGUUAAAGAAAAAUAAAGGAACUAAAUUUUCUUCUGCACACUAAGCAUGAAUGGAGUUGUAGUAUCUGAGAUCAAAAUUUAAUUUAUUCCAAGAUGCAGAACAAAAAUGUGAUACUCGUAAUGGUUACAUAGGAACAAAAGUAGAUAAGAAAAAUAGCAAAAAGAUAGUGGUCUACCAGAGAGGGCACAUGUGCCUCAAUUGGCCUAUAGCAUAGCGACUCAUUAUCCUUCCACCGCUGGUGGCGGGCGAUACUCGCUGCUCUGUGAAGCCAGCCUCACGCAAUGUCCGCCACUUUAGGUGUUGGGAUGCAAAGGCUUUCUCCAAGGCAUCCGAAACCCACUACACAACUUGGAAUGGGUGGUCCACAGUUUGUAGCACUAGACCCAGGCACAUGCACCACAAUUGACAUCCACACUACCUUAUUGCCCCCGCUCGGGUUACAAGCAAUCGCUACUUGCUCAGCGAGUGAGGGGGUUCAAGACUACCUAUUUAAGGUGGUGUUGUACUCUAUGAGCCGACAGUGUGGUAUUUACCAACUACAAAUAGUGUCAUGCAUGUGACUUGCUAGUUGACAAUGUCUGUUGUCGAGCUAGAUGUGGGCUAUGGAUGAAGCACAUUAGGAUAUAGUAGGCCUAUUUUGUUUUUUGUUGUUUUUGGGCCACUAUGGACUUUAUGUUGAUGUUGUGAAAUUUUUUCCUGUGUUUCCUCUUCCUACGAUGUGGAAAGUGGGUGCGUCAGAGAAGAAAGAAAGAGUAGCUAGCAUUGAUUUUACGUCAUACCAUUGAGAACACUAAUCAGAAGCAGAAGCAACAAUAUUUCAUACAUAUACAACACUUGUAAUCCAUAUAAACAACUUUCCUUUAAAAUAUAAUAUAAACCACUUGAUUUAUAUCCUGGGUCGGCUAUCUCCACAAAGGGCAAGAAAACGCACCAAGUUUGUAGUAUAGAACUAAAAGUGUCGAUUCUCACGAUUUCUUCCCAACAUAUACAAACUAGACAGUAAUCACAUAAAAUAAAGAAAUAUGUGUUAACACGAACUUAUAGCAUGUAUUUCAACAUAUAGAUUGUUGAUUAUUAUGGUAGAUUAUAUAAAAUAGGGGUUCCCGAAGAAAUACAUAAAAACAAGAGCAUUAAAAGUUCCUUUUCAGAUCUGGCUAUCUAGUAAAAGGAGUUGGAGUAACUGAGUUUCCAAAUUUGUGACGUAGCUCUAUAGAAGGAAUAUAAAUACGUUGGAAAAAUUCUACAAGGAAAGGUCUAAUACAAGUAGGGCUAAGAAAAACUCAAUGAGGCUUUGGUCACAUGGUCACAAAACUUGAGACAAGAAACACGAAGACACCAAGGUAAUUAGUAUGAGAGUUUUCCAAAUUUGGUGUCUUGAUGUAGAAAAAAUAAAUAUAUGACAAACUUGUUUUUUCGCAAGGCAUGGAUAAAUAAGUGGGGGUGAACAAUAAAUUUCAUCCUAGAUUUAGAAGGAAUAAAUAUAUCACUAAAUACGUUUUUUCACAAUGCCAAGUUAAUCAGGUGGGAGCGAGAAACAAUUCUAGCGAGGCUAGUUUGUACUAGCCCAAAACUACAUACAACAGAGGAAAAAUGAAGAAAAUGAUGGUCUACCAAAUAGGGCGCAUGAGCCUUAAGGUGCACCUAGAGGGAAGUAGAAGAAAUAAAUAUAUAAUAGCAUAUGUUUUUCGCAAUGCAAGGUAAAGUGUAGAUGUGCUCUAACUGGGCUUAGAUUGCAGCGACACAUUAUGCAUCUACAAGGCUUGGUUGCACAUGGAAAAAGAUAGAGAGAGAAAUGUAGACGCAGGACCGGGAGAAAAACAUUCAAUGAGACAUGAUUGCACGGACAUAGAACUAGAUAUAAGACAAGAGUUAAAGAAAAAUAAAGGAACUAAAUUUUCUUCUACACACUCAGCAUGAAUGGAGUUGUAGUAUCUGAGAUCAAAAUUUAAUUUAUUCCAAGAUGCAGAACAAAAACGUGAUACUCGUAAUGGUUACAUAGGAACAAAAGUAGAUAAGAAAAAUAGCAAAAAGAUAGUGGUCUACCAGAGAGGGCACAUGUGCCUCAAUUGGCCUAUAGCAUAGCGACUCAUUAUCCUUCCACCGCUGGUGGCGGGCGGUACUCGCUGCUCUAUGAAGCCAGCCUCACGCAAUGUCCGCCACUUUAGGUGUUGGGAUGCAAAGGCUUUCGCCAAGGCAUCCGAAACCCACUACACAACUUGGAAUGGGUGGUCCACAGUUUGUAGCACUAGACCCAGGCACAUGCACCACAAUUGACAUCCACACUACCUUAUUGCCCCCGCUCGGGUUACAAGCAAUCGCUACUUGCUCAGCGAGUGAGGGGGUUCAAGACUACCUAUUUAAGGUGGUGUUGUACUCUAUGAGCCGACAGUGUGGUAUUUACCAACUACAAAUAGUGUCAUGCAUGUGACUUGCUAGUUGACAAUGUCUGUUGUCGAGCUAGAUGUGGGCUAUGGAUGAAGCACAUUAGGAUAUAGUAGGCCUAUUUUGUUUUUUGUUAUUUUUGGGCCACUAUGGACUUUAUGUUGAUGUUGUGAAAUUUUUUCUUGUGUUUCCUCUUCCUACGAUGUGGAAAGUGGGUGCGUCAGAGAAGAAAGAAAGAGUAGCUAGCAUUGAUUUUCCGUCAUACCAUUGAGAACACUAAUCAGAAGCAGAAGCAACAAUAUUUCAUACAUAUACAACACUUGUAAUCCAUAUAAACAACUUUCCUUUAAAAUAUAAUGUAAACCACAUGAUUUAUAUCUAGGGUCGGCUAUCUCCACAAAGGGCAAGAAAACGCUCCAAGUUUGUAGUAUAGAACUAAAAGUGUCGAUUCUCACGAUUUCUUCCCGACAUAUACAAACUAGACAGUAAUCACAUAAAAUAAAGAAAUAUGUGUUAACACGAACUUAUAGCAUGUAUUUCAACAUAUAGAUUGUUGAUUAUUAUGGUAGAUUAUAUAAAAUAGGGGUUCCCGAAGAAAUACGUAAAAACAAGAGCAUUAAAAUUUCCUUUUCAGAUCUGGCUAUCUAGUAAAAGGAGUUGGAGUAACUGAGUUUCCAAAUUUGUGACGUAGCUCUAUAGAAGGAAUAUAAAUACGUUGGAAAAAUUCUACAAGGAAAGGUCUAAUACAAGUAGGGCUAAGAAAAACUCAAUGAGGCUUUGGUCGCAUGGUCACAAAACUUGAGACAAGAAACACGAAGACACCAAGGUAAUUAGUAUGAGAGUUUUCCAAAUUUGGUGUCUUGAUGUAGAAAAAAUAAAUAUAUGACAAACUUGUUUUUUCGCAAGGCAUGGAUAAAUAAGUGGGGGUGAACAAUAAAUUCAUCCUAGAUUUAGAAGGAAUAAAUAUAUCACUAAAUACGUUUUUUCACAAUGCCAAGUUAAUCAGGUGGGAGCGAGAAACAAUUCUAGCGAGGCUAGGUUGUACUAGCCCAAAACUACAUACAACAGAGGAAAAAUGAAGAAAAUGGUGGUCUACCAAAUAGGGCGCAUGAGCCUUAAGGUGCACCUAGAGGGAAGUAGAAGAAAUAAAUAUAUAAUAGCAUAUGUUUUUCGCAAUGCAAGGUAAAGUGUAGAUGUGCUCUAACUGGGCUUAGAUUGUAGCGACACAUUAUGCAUCUACAAGGCUUGGUUGCUCAUGGAAAAAGAUAGAGACAGAAAUGUAGACGCAGGACCGGGAGAAAAACAUUCAAUGAGACGUGAUUGCACGGACAUAGAACUAGUUAUAAGACAAGAGUUAAAGAAAAAUAAAGGAACUAAAUUUUCUUCUGCACACUAAGCAUGAAUGGAGUUGUAGUAUCUGAGAUCAAAAUUUAAUUUAUUCCAAGAUGCAGAACAAAAACGUGAUACUCGUAAUGGUUACAUAGGAACAAAAGUAGAUAAGAAAAAUAGCAAAAAGAUAGUGGUCUACCAGAGAGGGCACAUGUGCCUCAAUUGGCCUAUAGCAUAGCGACUCAUUAUCCUUCCACCGCUGGUGGCGGGCGGUACUCGCUGCUCUGUGAAGCCAACCUCACGCAAUGUCCGCCACUUUAGGUGUUGGGAUGCAAAGGCUUUCGCCAAGGCAUCCGAAACCCACUACACAACUUGGAAUGGGUGGUCCACAGUUUGUAGCACUAGACCCAGGCACAUGCACCACAAUUAACAUUCACACUACCUUAUUGCCCCCGCUCGGGUUACAAGCAAUCGCUACUUGCUCAGCGAGUGAGGGGGUUCAAGACUACCUAUUUAAGGUGGUGUUGUACUGUAUGAGCCGGCGGUGUGGUAUUUACCAACUACAAAUAGUGUCAUGCAUGUGACUUGCUAGUUGACAAUGUCUGUUGUCGAGCUAGAUGUGGGCUAUGGAUGAAGCACAUUAGGAUAUAGUAGGCCUAUUUUGUUUUUUGUUGUUUUUGGGACACUAUGGACUUUAUGUUGAUGUUGUGAAAUUUUUUCUUGUGUUUCCUUUUCCUACGAUGUGGAAAGUGGGUGCGUCAGAGAAGAAAGAAAGAGUGGCUAGCAUUGAUUUUACGUCAUACCGUUGAGAACACUAAUCAGAAGCAGAAGCAACAAUAUUUCAUACAUAUACAACACUUGUAAUCCAUAUAAACAACUUUCCUUUAAAAUAUAAGAUAAACCACAUGAUUUAUAUCCUGGGUCGGCUAUCUCCACAAAGGGCAAGAAAACGCUCCAAGUUUGUAGUAUAGAACUAAAAGUGUCGAUUCUCACGAUUUCUUCCCGACAUAUACAAACUAGACAGUAAUCACAUAAAAUAAAGAAAUAUGUGUUAACAAGAACUUAUACCAUGUAUUUCAACAUAUAGAUUGUUGAUUAUUAUGGUAGAUUAUAUAAAAUAGGGGUUCCCGAAGCAAUACAUAAAAACAAGAGCAUUAAAAUUUCCUUUUCAGAUUUGGCUAUCUGGUAAAAGGAGUUGGAGUAACUGAGUUUCCAAAUUUGUGCCGUAGCUCUAUAGAAGGAAUAUAAAUACGUUGGAAAAAUUCUAUAAGGAAAGGUUUAAUACAAGUAGGGCUAAGAAAAACUCAAUGAGGCUUUGGUCGCAUGGUCACAAAACUUGAGACAAGAAACACGAAGACACCAAGGUAAUUAGUAUGAGAGUUUUCCAAAUUUGGUGUCUUGAUGUAGAAAAAUAAAUAUAUGAAAAACUUGUUUUUUCGCAAGGCAUGGAUAAAUAAGUGGGGGUGAGCAAUAAAUUUCAUCCUUGAUUUAGAAGGAAUAAAUAUAUCACUAAAUACGUUUUUUCACAAUGCCAAGUUAAUCAGGUGGGACCGAGAAACAAUUCUAGCGAGGCUAGGUUGUACUAGCCCAAAACUACAUACUACAGAGGAAAAAUGAAGAAAAUGAUGGUCUACCAAAUAUGGCGCAUGAGCCUUAAGGUGCACCUAGAGGGAAGUAGAAGAAAUAAAUAUAUAAUAGCAUAUGUUUUUCGCAAUGCAAGGUAAAGUGUAGAUGUGCUCUAACUAGGCUUAGAUUGCAGCGACACAUUAUGCAUCUACAAGGCUUGGUUGCACAUGGAAAAAGAUAGAGAGAGAAAUGUAGACGCAGGACCGAGAGAAAAACAUUCAAUGAGACGUGAUUGCACGGACAUAGAACUAGAUAUAAGACAAGAGUUAAAGAAAAAUAAAGGAACUAAAUUUUCUUCUGCACACUAAGCAUGAAUGGAGUUGUAGUAUCUGAGAUCAAAAUUUAAUUUAUUCCAAGAUGCAGAACAAAAACGUGAUACUCGUAAUGGUUACAUAGGAACAAAAGUAGAUAAGAAAAAUAGCAAAAAGAUAGUGGUCUACCAGAGAGGGCACAUGUGCCUCAAUUGGCCUAUAGCAUAGCGACUCAUUAUCCUUCCACCGCUGGUGGCGGGCGGUACUCGCUGCUCUGUGAAGCCAGCCUCACGCAAUGUCCGCCACUUUAGGUGUUGGGAUGCAAAGGCUUUCGCCAAGGCAUCCGAAACCCACUACACAACUUGGAAUGGGUGUUCCACAAUUUGUAGCACUAGACCCAGGCACAUGCACCACAAUUGACAUCCACACUACCUUAUUGCCUCCGCUCGGGUUACAAGCAAUCGCUACUUGCUCAGCGAGUGAGGGGGUUCAAGACUACCUAUUUGAGGUGGUGUUGUACUCUAUGAGCCGGCGGUGUGGUAUUUACCAACUACAAAUAGUGUCAUGCAUGUGACUUGCUAGUUGACAAUGUCUGUUGUCGAGCUAGAUGUGGGCUAUGGAUGAAGCACAUUAGGAUAUAGUAGGCCUAUUUUGUUUUUUGUUGUUUUUGGGCCACUAUGGACUUUAUGUUGAUGUUGUGAAAUUUUUUCUUGUGUUUCCUCUUCAUACGAUGUGGAAAGUGGGUGCCGUCAGAGAAGAAAGAAAGAGCGGCUAGCAUUGAUUUUACGUCAUACCAUUGAGAACACUAAUUAGAAGCAGAAGCAACAAUAUUUCAUACAUAUACAACACUUGUAAUCCAUAUAAACAACAUUCCUUUAAAAUAUAAUAUAAACCACAUGAUUUAUAUCCUGGGUCAGCUAUCUCCACAAAGGGCAAGAAAACGCUCCAAGUUUGUAGUAUAGAACUAAAAGUGUCGAUUCUCACGAUUUCUUCCCGACAUAUACAAACUAGACAGUAAUCACAUAAAAUAAAGAAAUAUGUGUUAACACGAACUUAUAACAUGUAUUUCAACAUAUAGAUUGUUGAUUAUUAUGGUAGAUUAUAUAAAAUAGGGGUUCCCGAAGAAAUACAUAAAAACAAGAGCAUUAAAAUUUCCUUUUCAGAUCUGGCUAUCUGGUAAAAGGAGUUGGAGUAACUGAGUUUCCAAAUUUGUGACGUAGCUCUAUAGAAGGAAUAUAAAUACGUUGGAAAAAUUCUACAAGGAAAGGUUUAAUACAAGUAGGGCUAAGAAAAACUCAAUGAGGCUUUGGUCGCAUGGUCACAAAACUUGAGACAAGAAACACGAAGACACCAAGGUAAUUAGUAUGAGAGUUUUCCAAAUUUGGUGUCUUGAUGUAGAAAAAAUAAAUAUAUGACAAACUUGUUUUUUCGCAAGGCAUGGAUAAAUAAGUGGGGGCGAGCAAUAAAUUUCAUCCUAGAUUUAGAAGGAAUAAAUAUAUCACUAAAUACGUUUUUUCAUAAUGCCAAGUUAAUCAGGUGGGAGCGAGAAACAAUUCUAGCGAGGUUAGGUUGUACUAGCCCAAAACUACAUACAACAGAGGAAAAAUGAAGAAAAUGAUGGUCUACCAAAUAUGGCGCAUGAGCCUUAAGGUGCACGUAGAGGGAAGUAUAAGAAAUAAAUAUAUAAUAGCAUAUGUUUUUCGCAAUGCAAGGUAAAGUGUAGAUGUGCUCUAACUGGGCUUAGAUUGCAGCGACACAUUAUGCAUCUACAAGGCUUGGUUGCACAUGGAAAAAGAUAGAGAGAGAAAUGUAGACACAGGACCGGGAGAAAAACAUUCAAUGAGACAUGAUUGCACGGACAUAGAACUAGAUAUAAGACAAGAGUUAAAGAAAAAUAAAGGAACUAAAUUUUCUUCUACACACUCAGCAUGAAUGGAGUUGUAGUAUCUGAGAUCAAAAUUUAAUUUAUUCCAAGAUGCAGAACAAAAACGUGAUACUCGUAAUGGUUACAUAGGAACAAAAGUAGAUAAGAAAAAUAGCAAAAAGAUAGUGGUCUACCAGAGAGGGCACAUGUGCCUCAAUUGGCCUAUAGCAUAGCGACUCAUUAUCCUUCCACCGCUGGUGGCGGGCGGUACUCGCUGCUCUGUGAAGCCAGCCUCACGCAAUGUCCGCCACUUUAGGUGUUGGGAUGCAAAGGCUUUCGCCAAGGCAUCCGAAACCCACUACACAACUUGGAAUGGGUGUUCCACAGUUUGUAGCACUAGACCAUGGCACAUGCACCACAAUUGACAUCCACACUACCUUAUUGCCCCCGCUCGGGUUACAAGCAAUCACUACUUGCUCAUCAAGUGAGGGGGUUCAAGACUACCUAUUUAAGGUGGUGUUGUACUCUAUGAGCCGACGGUGUGGUAUUUACCAACUACAAAUAGUGUCAUGCAUGUGACUUGCUAGUUGACAAUGUCUGUUGUCGAGCUAGAUGUGGGCUAUGGAUGAAGCACAUUAGGAUAUAGUAGGCCUAUUUUGUUUUUUGUUGUUUUUGGGCCACUAUGGACUUUAUGUUGACGUUGUGAAAUUUUUUCUUGUGUUUCCUCUUCCUACGAUGUGGAAAGUGGGUGCCGUCAGAGAAGAAAGAAAGAGUGGCUAGCAUUGAUUUUACGUCAUACCAUUGAGAACACUAAUCAGAAGCAGAAGCAACAAUAUUUCAUACAUAUACAACACUUGUAAUCCAUAUAAACAACUUUCCUUUAAAAUAUAAUAUAAACCACAUGAUUUAUAUCCUGGGUCGGCUAUCUCCACAAAGGGCAAGAAAACGCUCCAAGUUUGUAGUAUAGAACUAAAAGUGUCGAUUCUCACGAUUUCUUCCCGACAUAUACAAACUAGACAGUAAUCACAUAAAAUAAAGAAAUAUGUGUUAACACGAACAUAUAGCAUGUAUUUCAACAUAUAGAUUGUUGAUUAUUAUGGUAGAUUAUAUAAAAUAGGGGUUCCCGAAGAAAUACAUAAAAACAAGAGCAUUGAAAUUUCCUUUUCAGAUCUGGCUAUCUGGUAAAAGGAGUUGGAGUAACUGAGUUUCCAAAUUUGUGACGUAGCUCUAUAGAAGGAAUAUAAAUACGUUGGAAAAAUUCUACAAGGAAAGGUUUAAUACAAGUAGGGCUAAGAAAAACUCAAUGAGGCUUUGGUCGCAUGGUCACAAAACUUGAGACAAGAAACACGAAGACACCAAGGUAAUUAGUAUGAGAGUUUUCCAAAUUUGGUGUCUUGAUGUAGAAAAAAUAAAUAUAUGACAAACUUGUUUUUUCGCAAGGCAUGGAUAAAUAAGUGGGGGCGAGCAAUAAAUUUCAUCCUAGAUUUAGAAGGAAUAAAUAUAUCACUAAAUACGUUUUUUCAUAAUGCCAAGUUAAUCAGGUGGGAGCGAGAAACAAUUCUAGCGAGGCUAGGUUGUACUAGCCCAAAACUACAUACAACAGAGGAAAAAUGAAGAAAAUGAUGGUCUACCAAAUAUGGCGCAUGAGCCUUAAGGUGCACCUAGAGGGAAGUAGAAGAAAUAAAUAUAUAAUAGCAUAUGUUUUUCGCAAUGCAAGGUAAAGUGUAGAUGUGCUCUAACUGGGCUUAGAUUGCAGCGACACAUUAUGCAUCUACAAGGCUUGGUUGCACAUGGAAAAAGAUAGAGAGAGAAAUGUAGACACAGGACCGGGAGAAAAACAUUCAAUGAGACAUGAUUGCACGGACAUAGAACUAGAUAUAAGACAAGAGUUAAAGAAAAAUAAAGGAACUAAAUUUUCUUCUGCACACUCAGCAUGAAUGGAGUUGUAGUAUCUGAGAUCAAAAUUUAAUUUAUUCCAAGAUGCAGAACAAAAACGUGAUACUCGUAAUGGUUACAUAGGAACAAAAGUAGAUAAGAAAAAUAGCAAAAAGAUAGUGGUCUACCAGAGAGGGCACAUGUGCCUCAAUUGGCCUAUAGCAUAGCGACUCAUUAUCCUUCCACCGCUGGUGGCGGGCGGUACUCGCUGCUCUGUGAAGCCAGCCUCACGCAAUGUCCGCCACUUUAGGUGUUGGGAUGCAAAGGCUUUCGCCAAGGCAUCCGAAACCCACUACACAACUUGGAAUGGGUGGUCCAAAGUUUGUAGCACUAGACCCAGGCACAUGCACCACAAUUGACAUCCACACUACCUUAUUGCCCCCGCUCGGGUUACAAGCAAUCGCUACUUGCUCAGCGAGUGAGGGGGUUCAACACUACCUAUUUAAGGUGGUGUUGUACUCUAUAAGCCGGCGGUGUGGUAUUUACCAACUACAAAUAGUGUCAUGCAUGUGACUUGCUAGUUGACAAUGUCUGUUGUCGAGCUAGAUGUGGGCUAUGGAUGAAGCACAUUAUGAUAUAGUAGGCCUAUUUUGUUUUUUGUUGUUUUUGGGCCACUAUGGACUUUAUGUUGAUGUUGUGAAAUUUUUUCUUGUGUUUCCUCUUCCUACGAUGUGUAAAGUGGGUGUGUUAGAGAAGAAAGAAAGAGUGGCUAGCAUUGAUUUUACGUCAUACCAUUGAGAACACUAAUCAGAAGCAGAAGCAACAAUAUUUCAUACAUAUACAACACUUGUAAUCCAUAUAAACAACUUUCCUUUAAAAUAUAAUAUAAACCACAUGAUUUAUAUCCUGGGUCGGCUAUCUCCACAAAGGGCAAGAAAACGCUCCAAGUUUGUAGUAUAGAACUAAAAGUGUCGAUUCUCACGAUUUCUUCCCGACAUAUACAAACUAGACAGUAAUCACAUAAAAUAAAGAAAUAUGUGUUAACACGAACUUAUAGCAUGUAUUUCAACAUAUAGAUUGUUGAUUAUUAUGGUAGAUUAUAUAAAAUAGGGGUUCCCAAAGAAAUACAUAAAACAAGAGCAUUAAAAUUUCCUUUUCAGAUCUGGCUAUCUGGUAAAAGGAGUUGGAGUAACUGAGUUUCCAAAUUUGUGACGUAGCUCUAUAGAAGGAAUAUAAAUACGUUGGAAAAAUUCUACAAGGAAAGGUUUAAUACAAGUAGGGCUAAGAAAAACUCAAUGAGGCUUUGGUCGCAUGGUCACAAAACUUGAGACAAGAAACACGAAGACACAAAGGUAAUUAGUAUGAGAGUUUUCCAAAUUUGGUGUCUUGAUGUAGAAAAAAUAAAUAUAUGACAAACUUGUUUUUUCGCAAGGCAUGGAUAAAUAAGUGGGGGUGAGCAAUAAAUUUCAACCUAGAUUUAGAAGGAAUAAAUAUAUCACUAAAUACAUUUUUUACAAUGCCAAGUUAAUCAGGUAGGAGCGAGAAACAAUUCUAGCGAGGCUAGGUUGUACUAGCCCAAAACUACAUACAAAAGAGGAAAAAUGAAGAAAAUGAUGGUCUACCAAAUAUGGCACAUGAGCCUUAAGGUGCACCUAGAGGGAAGUAGAAGAAUAAAUAUAUAAUAGCAUAUGUUUUUCGCAAUGCAAGGUAAAGUGUAGAUGUGCUCUAACUGGGCUUAGAUUGCAGCGACACAUUAUGCAUCUACAAGGCUUGGUUGCACAUGGAAAAAGAUAGAGAGAGAAAUGUAGACGCAGGACCGGGAGAAAAACAUUCAAUGAGACGUGAUUGCACGGACAUAGAACUAGAUAUAAGACAAGAGUUAAAGAAAAAAGGAACUAAAUUUUCUUGUGCACACUAAGCAUGAAUGGAGUUGUAGUAUCUGAGAUCAAAAUUUAAUUUAUUCCAAGAUGCAGAACAAAAACGUGAUACUCGUAAUGGUUACAUAGGAACAAAAGUAGAUAAGAAAAAUAGCAAAAAGAUAUUGGUCUACCAGAGAGGGCACAUGUGCCUCAAUUGGCCUAUAGCAUAGUGGCUCAUUAUCCUUCAACCGCUGGUGGCGGGCGGUACUCGCUGCUCUGUGAAGCCAGCCUCACGCAAUGUCCGCCACUUUAGGUGUUGGGAUGCAAAGGCUUUCGCCAAGGCAUCCGAAACCCACUACACAACUUGGAAUGGGUGGUCCACAGUUUGUAGCACUAGACCCAGGCACAUGCACCACAAUUGACAUUCACACUACCUUAUUGCCCCCGCUCGGGUUACAAGCAAUCGCUACUUGCUCAGCGAGUGAGGGGGGUUCAAGACUACCUAUUUAAGGUGGUGUUGUACUGUAUGAGCCGGCGGUGUGGUAUUUACCAACUACAAAUAGUGUCAUGCAUGUGACUUGCUAGUUGACAAUGUCUGUUGUGGAGCUAGAUGUGGGCUAUGGAUGAAGCACAUUAGGAUAUAGUAGGCCUAUUUUGUUUUUUGUUAUUUUUGGGCCACUAUGGACUUUAUGUUGAUGUUGUGAAUUUUUUUCUUGUGUUUCCUCUUCCUACGAUGUGGAAAGUGGGUGCGUCAGAGAAGAAAGAAAGAGUGGCUAGCAUUGAUUUUACGUCAUACCAUUGAGAACACUAAUCAGAAGCAGAAGCAACAAUAUUUCAUACAUAUACAACACUUGUAAUCCAUAUAAACAACUUUCCUUUCAAAUAUAAUAUAAACCACAUGAUUUAUAUCCUGGGUCGGCUAUCUCCACAAAGGGCAAGAAAACGCUCCAAGUUUGUAGUAUAGAACUAAAAGUGUCGACUCUCACGAUUUCUUCCCGACAUAUGCAAACUAGACAGUAAUCACAUAAAAUAAAGAAAUAUGUGUUAACACAAACUUAUAACAUGUAUUUCAACAUAUAGAUUUUUGAUUAUUAUGGUAGAUUAUAUAAUAUAGGGGUUCCCGAAGAAAUACAUAAAAAACAAGAGCAUUAAAAUUUCCUUUUCAGAUCUGGCUAACUGGUAAAGGGAGUUGGAGUAUCUGUGUUUCCAAAUUUGGGACGUCGCUCUAUAGAAGGAAUAUAAAUACAUUGGAAAAAAAUUCUACAAGGAAAGGUUUAAUACAAGUAGGGCUAAGAAAAACUCAAUGAGGCUUUGGUCGCAUGGUCACAAAACUUGAGACAAGAAACACGAAGACACCAAGGUAAUUAGUAUGAGAGUUUUCCAAAUUUGGUGUCUUGAUGUAGAAAAAAUAAAUAUAUGACAAACUUGUUUUUUCGCAAGGCAUGGAUAAAUAAGUGGGGGUGAGCAAUAAAUUUCAUCCUAGAUUUAGAAGGAAUAAAUAUAUCACUAAAUACGUUUUUUCAUAAUGCCAAGUUAAUCAGGUGGGAGCGAGAAACAAUUCUAGCGAGGCUAGGUUGUACUAGCCCAAAACUACAUACAACAGAGGAAAAAUGAAGAAAAUGAUGGUCUACCAAAUAUGGCGCAUGAGCCUUAAGGUGCACCUAGAGGGAAGUAGAAGAAAUAAAUAUAUAAUAGCAUAUGUUUUUCUCAAUGCAAGGUAAAGUGUAGAUGUGCUCUAACUGGGCUUAGAUUGCAGCGACACAUUAUGCAUCUACAAGGCUUGGUUGCACAUGGAAAAAGAUAGAGAGAGAAAUGUAGACACAGGACGGGGAGAAAAACAUUCAAUGAGACAUGAUUGCACGGACAUAGAACUAGAUAUAAGACAAGAGUUAAAGAAAAAUAAAGGAACUAAAUUUUCUUCUGCACACUCAGCAUGAAUGGAGUUGUAGUAUCUGAGAUCAAAAUUUAAUUUAUUCCAAGAUGCAGAACAAAAACGUGAUACUCGUAAUGGUUACAUAGGAACAAAAGUAGAUAAGAAAAAUAGCAAAAAGAUAGUGGUCUACCAGAGAGGGCACAUGUGCCUCAAUUGGCCUAUAGCAUAGCGACUCAUUAUCCUUCCACCGCUGGUGGCGGGCGGUACUCGCUGCUCUGUGAAGCCAGCCUCACGCAAUGUCCGCCACUUUAGGUGUUGGGAUGCAAAGGCUUUCGCCAAGGCAUCCGAAACCCACUACACAACUUGGAAUGGGUGGUCCACAGUUUGUAGCACUAGACCCAGGCACAUGCACCACAAUUGACAUCCACACUACCUUAUUGCCCCCGCUCGGGUUACAAGCAAUCGCUACUUGCUCAGCGAGUGAGGGGGUUCAAGACUACCUAUUUAAGGUGGUGUUGUACUCUAUAAGCCGGCGGUGUGGUAUUUACCAACUACAAAUAGUGUCAUGCAUGUGACUUGCUAGUUGACAAUGUCUGUUGUCGAGCUAGAUGUGGGCUACGGAUGAAGCACAUUAUGAUAUAGUAGGCCUAUUUUGUUUUUUGUUGUUUUUGGGCCACUAUGGACUUUAUGUUGAUGUUGUGAAAUUUUUUCUUGUGUUUCCUCUUCCUACGAUGUGGAAAGUGGGUGUGUUAGAGAAGAAAGAAAGAGUGGCUAGCAUUGAUUUUACGUCAUACCAUUGAGAACACUAAUCAGAAGCAGAAGCAACAAUAUUUCAUACAUAUACAACACUUGUAAUCCAUAUAAACAACUUUCCUUUAAAAUAUAAUAUAAACCACAUGAUUUAUAUCCUGGGUCGGCUAUCUCCACAAAGGGCAAGAAAACGCUCCAAGUUUGUAGUAUAGAACUAAAAGUGUCGAUUCUCACGAUUUCUUCCCGACAUAUACAAACUAGACAGUAAUCACAUAAAAUAAAGAAAUAUGUGUUAACACAAACUUAUAGCAUGUAUUUCAACAUAUAGAUUGUUGAUUAUUAUGGUAGAUUAUAUAAAAUAGAGGUUCCCGAAGAAAUACAUAAAAACAAGAGCAUUAAAAUUUCCAUUUCAGAUCUGGCUAUCUGGUAAAAGGAGUUGGAGUAACUGAGUUUCCAAAUUUGUGACGUAGCUCUAUAGAAGGAAUAUAAAUACGUUGGAAAAAUUCUACAAGGAAAGGUUUAAUACAAGUAGGGCUAAGAAAAACUCAAUGAGGCUUUGGUCGCAUGGUCACAAAACUUGAGACAAGAAACACGAAGACACCAAGGUAAUUAGUAUGAGAGUUUUCCAAAUUUGGUGUCUUGAUGUAGAAAAAAUAAAUAUAUGACAAACUUGUUUUUUCGCAAGGCAUGGAUAAAUAAGUGGGGGCGAGCAAUAAAUUUCAUCCUAGAUUUAGAAGGAAUAAAUAUAUCACUAAAUACGUUUUUUCAUAAUGCCAAGUUCAUCAGGUGGGAGCGAGAAACAAUUCUAGCGAGGUUAGGUUGUACUAGCCCAAAACUACAUACAACAGAGGAAAAAUGAAGAAAAUGAUGGUCUACCAAAUAUGGCGCAUGGGCCUUAAGGUGCACCUAGAGGGAAGUAUAAGAAAUAAAUAUAUAAUAGCCUAUGUUUUUCGCAAUGCAAGGUAAAGUGUAGAUGUGCUCUAACUGGGCUUAGAUUGCAGCGACACAUUAUGCAUCUACAAGGCUUGGUUGCACAUGGAAAAAGAUAGAGAGAGAAAUGUAGACACAGGACGGGGAGAAAAACAUUCAAUGAGACAUGAUUGCACGGACAUAGAACUAGAUAUAAGACAAGAGUUAAAGAAAAAUAAAGGAACUAAAUUUUCUUCUGCACACUCAGCAUGAAUGGAGUUGUAGUAUCUGAGAUCAAAAUUUAAUUUAUUCCAAGAUGCAGAACAAAAACGUGAUACUCGUAAUGGUUACAUAGGAACAAAAGUAGAUAAGAAAAAUAGCAAAAAGAUAGUGGUCUACCAGAGAGGGCACAUGUGCCUCAAUUGGCCUAUAGCAUAGCGACUCAUUAUCCUUCCACCGCUGGUGGCAGGCGGUACUCGCUGCUCUGUGAAGCCAGCCUCACGCAAUGUCCGCCACUUUAGGUGUUGGGAUGCAAAGGCUUUCGCCAAGGCAUCCGAAACCCACUACGCAACUUGGAAUGGGUGGUCCACAGUUUGUAGCACUAGACCCAGGCACAUGCACCACAAUUGACAUCCACACUACCUUAUUGCCCCCGCUCGGGUUACAAGCAAUCGCUACUUGCUCAGCGAGUGAGGGGGUUCAAGACUACCUAUUUAAGGUGGUGUUGUACUCUAUAAGCCGGCGGUGUGGUAUUUACCAACUACAAAUAGUGUCAUGCAUGUGACUUGCUAGUUGACAAUGUCUGUUGUCGAGCUAGAUGUGGGCUAUGGAUGAAACACAUUACGAUAUAGUAGGCCUAUUUUGUUUUUUGUUGUUUUUGGGCCACUAUGGACUUUAUGUUGAUGUUGUGAAAUUUUUUCUUGUGUUUCCUCUUCCUAUGAUGUGGAAAGUGGGUGGGUUAGAGAAGAAAGAAAGAGUGGCUAGCAUUGAUUUUACGUCAUACAAUUGAGAACACUAAUCAGAAGCAGAAGCAACAAUAUUUCAUACAUAUACAACACUUGUAAUCCAUAUAAACAACUUUCCUUUAAAAUAUAAUAUAAACCACAUGAUUUAUAUCCUGGGUCGGCUAUCUCCACAAAGGGCAAGAAAACGCUCCAAGUUUGUAGUAUAGAACUAAAAGUGUCGAUUCUCACGAUUUCUUCCCGACAUAUACAAACUAGACAGUAAUCACAUAAAAUAAAGAAAUAUGUGUUAACACGAACUUAUAGCAUGUAUUUCAACAUAUAGAUUGCUGAUUAUUAUGGUUGAUUAUAUAAAAUAGGGGUUCCCGAAGAAAUACAUAAAAACAAGAGCAUUAAAAUUUCCUUUUCAGAUCUGGCUAUCUGGUAAAAGGAGUUGGAGUAACUGAGUUUCCAAAUUUGUGACGUAGCUCUAUAGAAGGAAUAUAAAUACGUUGGAAAAAUUCUACAAGGAAAGGUUUAAUACAAGUAGGGCUAAGAAAAACUCAAUGAGGCUUUGGUCGCAUGGUCACAAAACUUGAGACAAGAAACACGAAGACACCAAGGUAAUUAGUAUGAGAGUUUUCCAAAUUUGGUGUCUUGAUGUAGAAAAAAUAAAUAUAUGACAAACUUGUUUUUUCGCAAGGCAUGGAUAAAUAAGUGGGGGUGAGCAAUAAAUUUCAUCCUAGAUUUAGAAGGAAUAAAUAUAUCACUAAAUACGUUUUUUACAAUGCCAAGUUAAUUAGGUGGGAGCGAGAAACAAUUCUAGCGAGGCUAGGUUGUACUAGCCCAAAACUACAUACAACAGAGGAAGAAUGAAGAAAAUGAUGGUCUACCAAAUAUGGCACAUGAGCCUUAAGGUGCACCUAGAGGGAAGUAGAAGAAUAAAUAUAUAAUAGCAUAUGUUUUUCGCAAUGCAAGGUAAAGUGUAGAUGUGCUCUAACUGGGCUUAGAUUGCAGCGACACAUUAUGCAUCUACAAGGCUUCGUUGCACAUGGAAAAAGAUAGAGAGAGAAAUGUAGACGCAGGACCGGGAGAAAAACAUUCAAUGAGACGUGAUUGCACGGACAUAGAACUAAGUAUAAGACAAGAGUUAAAGAAAAAAGGAACUAAAUUUUCUUGUGCACACUAAGCAUGAAUGGAGUUGUAGUAUCUGAGAUCAAAAUUUAAUUUAUUCCAAGAUGCAGAACAAAAACGUGAUACUCGUAAUGGUUACAUAGGAACAAAAGUAGAUAAGAAAAAUAGCAAAAAGAUAUUGGUCUACCAGAGAGGGCACAUGUGCCUCAAUUGGCCUAUAGCAUAGUGGCUCAUUAUCCUUCCACCGCUGGUGGCGGGCGGUACUCGCUGCUCUGUGAAGCCAGCCUCACGCAAUGUCCGCCACUUUAGGUGUUGGGAUGCAAAGGCUUUCGCCAAGGCAUCCGAAACCCACUACACAACUUGGAAUGGGUGGUCCACAGUUUGUAGCAAUAGACCCAGGCACAUGCACCACAAUUGACAUUCACACUACCUUAUUGCCCCCGCUCGGGUUACAAGCAAUCGCUACUUGCUCAGCGAGUGAGGGGGUUCAAGACUACCUAUUUAAGGUGGUGUUGUACUGUAUGAGCCGGCGGUGUGGUAUUUACCAACUACAAAUAGUGUCAUGCAUGUGACUUGCUAGUUGACAAUGUCUAUUGUCGAGCUAGAUGUGGGCUAUAGAUGAAGCACAUUAGGAUAUAGUAGGCCUAUUUUGUUUUUUGUUGUUUUUGGGCCACUAUGGACUUUAUGUUGAUGUUGUGAAAUUUUUUCUUGUGUUUCCUCUUCCUACGAUGUGGAAAGUGGGUGCUUCAGAGAAGAAAGAAAGAGUGGCUAGCAUUGAUUUUACGUCAUACCAUUGAGAACACUAAUCAGAAGCAGAAGCAACAAUAUUUCAUACAUAUACAACACUUGUAAUCCAUAUAAACAACUUUCCUUUCAAAUAUAAUAUAAACCACAUGAUUUAUAUCCUGGGUCGGCUAUCUCCACAAAGGGCAAGAAAACGCUCCAAGUUUGUAGUAUAGCACUAAAAGUGUCGACUCUCACGAUUUCUUCCCGACAUAUGCAAACUAGACAGUAAUCACAUAAAAUAAAGAAAUAUGUGUUAACACAAACUUAUAGCAUGUAUUUCAACAUAUAGAUUUUUGAUUAUUAUGGUAGAUUAUAUAAUAUAGGGGUUCCCGAAAAAAUACAUAAAAAACAAGAGCAUUAAAAUUUCCUUUUCAGAUCUGGCUAACUGGUAAAGGGAGUUGGAGUAUCUGAGUUUCCAAAUUUGGGACGUCGCUCUAUAGAAGGAAUAUAAAUACAUUGGAAAAAAUUCUACAAGGAAAGGUUUAAUACAAGUAGCGCUAAGAAAAACUCAAUGAGGCUUUGGUCGCUUGGUCACAAAACUUGAGACAAGAAACACGAAGACACCAAGGUAAUUAGUAUGAGAGUUUUCCAAAUUUGGUGUCUUGAUGUAGAAAAAAUAAAUAUAUGACAAACUUGUUUUUUCGCAAGGCAUGGAUAAAUAAGUGGGGGUGAGCAAUAAAUUUCAUCCUAGAUUUAGAAGGAAUAAAUAUAUCACUAAAUACGUUUUUUCACAAUGCCAAGUUAAUCAGGUGGGAGCGAGAAACAAUUCUAGCGAGGCUAGGUUGUACUAGCCCAAAACUACAUACAACAGAGGAAAAAUAAAGAAAAUGAUGGUCUACCAAAUAGGGCGCAUGAGCCUUAAGGUGCACCUAGAGGGAAGUAGAAGAAAUAAAUAUAUAAUAGCAUAUGUUUUUCGCAAUGCAAGGUAAAGUGUAGAUGUGCUCUAACUGGGCUUAGAUUGCAGCGACACAUUAUGCAUCUACAAGGCUUGGUUGCACAUGGAAAAAGAUAGAGAGAGAAAUGUAGACGCAGGACCGGGAGAAAAACAUUCAAUGAGACGUGAUUGCACGGACAUAGAACUAGAUAUAAGACAAGAGUUAAAGAAAAAUAAAGGAACUAAAUUUUCUUCUGCACACUAAGCAUGAAUGGAGUUGUAGUAUCUGAGAUCAAAAUUUAAUUUAUUCCAAGAUGCAGAACAAAAACGUGAUACUCGUAAUGGUUACAUAGGAACAAAAGUAGAUAAGAAAAAUAGCAAAAAGAUAGUGGUCUACCAGAGAGGGCACAUGUGCCUCAAUUGGCCUAUAGCAUAGCGACUCAUUAUCCUUCCACCGCUGGUGGCGGGCGGUACUCGCUGCUCUGUGAAGCCAGCCUCACGCAAUGUCCGCCACUUUAGGUGUUGGGAUGCAAAGGCUUUCGCCAAGGCAUCCGAAACCCACUACACAACUUGGAAUGGGUGGUCCACAGUUUGUAGCACUAGACCCAGGCACAUGCACCACAAUUGACAUCCACACUACCUUAUUGCCCCCGCUCGGGUUACAAGCAAUCGCUACUUGCUCAGCGAGUGAGGGGGUUCAAGACUACCUAUUUAAGGUGGUGUUGUACUCUAUGAGCCGGCGGUGUGGUAUUUACCAACUACAAAUAGUGUCAUGCAUGUGACUUGCUAGUUGACAAUGUCUGUUGUCAAGCUAGGUGUGGGCUAUGGAUGAAGCACAUUAGGAUAUAGUAGGCCUAUUUUGUUUUUUGUUGUUUUUGGGCCACUAUGGACUGUAUGUUGAUGUUGUGAAAUUUUUUUCUUGUGUUUCCUCUUCCUACGAUGUGGAAAGUGGGUGCGUCAGAGAAGAAAGAAAGAGUGGCUAGCAUUGAUUUUACGUCAUACCAUUGAGAACACUAAUCAGAAGCAGAAGCAACAAUAUUUCAUACAUAUACAACACUUGUAAUCCAUAUAAACAACAUUCCUUUAAAAUAUAAUAUAAACCACAUGAUUUAUAUCCUGGGUCGGCUAUCUCCACAAAGGGCAAGAAAACGCUCCAAGUUUGUAGUAUAGCACUAAAAGUGUCGAUUCUCACGAUUUCUUCCCGACAUAUACAAACUAGACAGUAAUCACAUAAAAUAAAGAAAUAUGUGUUAACACGAACUUAUAACAUGUAUUUCAACAUAUAGAUUGUUGAUUAUUAUGGUAGAUUAUAUAAAAUAGGGGUUCCCGAAGAAAUACAUAAAAACAAGAGCAUUAAAAUUUCCUUUUCAGAUCUGGCUAUCUGGUAAAAGGAGUUGGAGUAACUGAGUUUCCAAAUUUGUGACGUAGCUCUAUAGAAGGAAUAUAAAUACGUUGGAAAAAUUCUAUAAGGAAAGGUUUAAUACAAGUAGGGCUAAGAAAAACUCAAUGAGGCUUUGGUCGCAUGGUCACAAAACUUGAGACAAGAAACACGAAGACACCAAGGUAAUUAGUAUGAGAGUUUUCCAAAUUUGGUGUCUUGAUGUAGAAAAAAUAAAUAUAUGACAAACUUGUUUUUUCGCAAGGCAUGGAUAAAUAAGUGGGGGUGAGCAAUAAAUUUCAUCCUAGAUUUAGAAGGAAUAAAUAUAUCACUAAAUAUGUUUUUUCACAAUGCCAAGUUAAUCAGGUGGGAGCGAGAAACAAUUCUAGCGAGGCUAGGUUGUACUAGCCCAAAACUACAUACAACAGAGGAAAAAUGAAGAAAAUGAUGGUCUACCAAAUAUGGCGCAUGAGCCUUAAGGUGCACCUAGAGGGAAGUAGAAGAAAUAAAUAUAUAAUAGCAUAUGUUUUUCGCAAUGCAAGGUAAAGUGUAGAUGUGCUCUAACUGGGCUUAGAUUGCAGCGACACAUUAUGCAUCUACAAGGCUUGGUUGCACAUGGAAAAAGAUAGAGAGAGAAAUGUAGACGCAGGACCGGGAGAAAAACAUUCAACGAGACGUGAUUGCACGGACAUAGAACUAGAUAUAAGACAAGAGUUAAAGAAAAAUAAAGGAACUAAAUUUUCUUCUGCACACUAAGCAUGAAUGGAGUUGUAGUAUCUGAGAUCAAAAUUUAAUUUAUUCCAAGAUGCAGAACAAAAACGUGAUACUCGUAAUGGUUACAUAGGAACAUAAGUAGAUAAGAAAAAUAGCAAAAAGAUAGUGGUCUACCAGAGAGGGCACAUGUGCCUCAAUUGGCCUAUAGCAUAGCGACUCAUUAUCCUUCCACCGCUGGUGGCGGGCGGUACUCGCUGCUCUGUGAAGCCAGCCUCACGCAAUGUCUGCCACUUUAGGUGUUGGGAUGCAAAGGCUUUCGCCAAGGCAUCCGAAACCCACUACACAACUUGGAAUGGGUGGUCCACAGUUGGUAGCACUAGACCCAGGCACAUGCACCACAAUUGACAUCCACACUACCUUAUUGCCCCCGCUCGGGUUACAAGCAAUCGCUACUUGCUCAGCGAGUGAGGGGGUUCAAGACUACCUAUUUAAGGUGGUGUUGUACUCUAUGAGCCGGUGGUGUGGUAUUUACCAACUACAAAUAGUGUCAUGCAUGUGACUUGCUAGUUGACAAUGUCUGUUGUCAAGCUAGGUGUGGGCUAUGGAUGAAGCACAUUAGGAUAUAGUAGGCCUAUUUUGUUUUUUGUUGUUUUUGGGCCACUAUGGACUUUAUGUUGAUGUUGUGAAUUUUUUUUCUUGUGUUUCCUCUUCCUACAAUGUGGAAAGUGGGUGCGUCAGAGAAGAAAGAAAGAGUGGCUAGCAUUGAUUUUACGUCAUACCAUUGAGAACACUAAUCAGAAGCAGAAGCAACAAUAUUUCAUACAUAUACAACACUUGUAAUCCAUAUAAACAACAUUCCUUUAAAAUAUAAUAUAAACCACAUGAUUUAUAUCCUGGGUCGGCUAUCUCCACAAAGGGCAAGAAAACGCUCCAAGUUUGUAGUAUAGCACUAAAAGUGUCGAUUCUCACGAUUUCUUCCCGACAUAUACAAACUAGACAGUAAUCACAUAAAAUAAAGAAAUAUGUGUUAACACGAACUUAUAGCAUGUAUUUCAACAUAUAGAUUGUUGAUUAUUAUGGUAGAUUAUAUAAAAUAGGGGUUCCCGAAGAAAUACAUAAAAACAAGAGCAUUAAAAUUUCCUUUUCAGAUCUGGCUAUCUGGUAAAAGGAGUUGGAGUAACUGAGUUUCCAAAUUUGUGACGUAGCUCUAUAGAAGGAAUAUAAAUACGUUGGAAAAAUUCUAUAAGGAAAGGUUUAAUACAAGUAGGGCUAAGAAAAACUCAAUGAGGCUUUGGUCGCAUGGUCACAAAACUUGAGACAAGAAACACGAAGACACCAAGGUAAUUAGUAUGAGAGUUUUCCAAAUUUGGUGUCUUGAUGUAGAAAAAAUAAAUAUAUGACAAACUUGUUUUUCGCAAGGCAUGGAUAAAUAAGUGGGGGUGAGCAAUAAAUUUCAUCCUAGAUUUAGAAGGAAUAAAUAUAUCACUUAAUAUGUUUUUUCACAAUGCCAAGUUAAUCAGGUGGGAGCGAGAAACAAUUCUAGCGAGGCUAGGUUGUACUAGCCCAAAACUACAUACAACAGAGGAAAAAUGAAGAAAAUGAUGGUCUACCAAAUAUGGUGCAUGAGCCUUAAGGUGCACCUAGAGGGAAGUAGAAGAAAUAAAUAUAUAAUAGCAUAUGUUUUUCGCAAUGCAAGGUAAAGUGUAGAUGUGCUCUAACUGGGCUUAGAUUGCAGCGACACAUUAUGCAUCUACAAGGCUUGGUUGCACAUGGAAAAAGAUAGAGAGAGAAAUGUAGACGCAAGACCGGGAGAAAAACAUUCAAUGAGACGUGAUUGCACGGACAUAGAACUAGAUAAAAGACAAGAGUUAAAGAAAAAUAAAGGAACUAAAUUUUCUUCUGCACACUAAGCAUGAAUGGAGUUGUAGUAUCUGAGAUCAAAAUUUAAUUUAUUCCAAGAUGCAGAACAAAAACGUGAUACUCGUAAUGGUUACAUAGGAACAUAAGUAGAUAAGAAAAAUAGCAAAAAGAUAGUGGUCUACCAGAGAGGGCACAUGUGCCUCAAUUGGCCUAUAGCAUAGCGACUCAUUAUCCUUCCACCGCUGGUGGCGGGCGGUACUCGCUGCUCUGUGAAGCCAGCCUCACGCAAUGUCCGCCACUUUAGGUGUUGGGAUGCAAAGGCUUUUGCCAAGGCAUCCGAAACCCACUACACAACUUGGAAUGGGUGGUCCACAGUUUGUAGCACUAGACCCAGGCACAUGCACCACAAUUGACAUCCACACUACCUUAUUGCCCCCGCUCGGGUUACAAGCAAUCGCUACUUGCUCAACGAGUGAGGGGGUUCAAGACUACCUAUUUAAGGUGGUGUUGUACUCUAUGAGCCGGCGGUGUGGUAUUUACCAACUACAAAUAGUGUCAUGCAUGUGACUUGCUAGUUGACAAUGUCUGUUGUCAAGCUAGGUGUGGGCUAUGGAUGAAGCACAUUAGGAUAUAGUAGGCCUAUUUUGUUUUUUGUUGUUUUUGGGCCACUAUGGACUUUAUGUUGAUGUUGUGAAUUUUUUUUCUUGUGUUUCCUCUUCCUACGAUGUGGAAAGUGGGUGCGUCAGAGAAGAAAGAAAGAGUGGCUAGCAUUGAUUUUACGUCAUACCAUUGAGAACACUAAUCAGAAGCAGAAGCAACAAUAUUUCAUACAUAUACAACACUUGUAAUCCAUAUAAACAACAUUCCUUUAAAAUAUAAUAUAAACCACAUGAUUUAUAUCCUGGGUCAGCUAUCUCCACAAAGGGCAAGAAAACGCUCCAAGUUUGUAGUAUAGCACUAAAAGUGUCGAUUCUCACGAUUUCUUCCCGACAUAUACAAACUAGACAGUAAUCACAUAAAAUAAAGAAAUAUGUGUUAACACGAACUUAUAGCAUGUAUUUCAACAUAUAGAUUGUUGAUUAUUAUGGUAGAUUAUAUAAAAUAGGGGUUCCCGAAGAAAUACAUAAAAACAAGAGCAUUAAAAUUUCCUUUUCAGAUCUGGCUAACUGGUAAAGGGAGUUGGAGUAUCUGAGUUUCCAAAUUUGGGACGUCGCUCUAUAGAAGGAAUAUAAAUACAUUGGAAAAAAUUCUACAAGGAAAGGUUUAAUACAAGUAGCGCUAAGAAAAACUCAAUGAGGCUUUGGUCGCUUGGUCACAAAACUUGAGACAAGAAACACGAAGACACCAAGGUAAUUAGUAUGAGAGUUUUCCAAAUUUGGUGUCUUGAUGUAGAAAAAAUAAAUAUAUGACAAACUUGUUUUUUCGUAAGGCAUGGAUAAAUAAGUGGGGGUGAGCAAUAAAUUUCAUCCUAGAUUUAGAAGGAAUAAAUAUAUCACUAAAUAGGUUUUUUCACAAUGCCAAGUUAAUCAGGUGGGAGCGAGAAACAAUUCUAGCGAGGCUAGGUUGUACUAGCCCAAAACUACAUACAACAGAGGAAAAAUGAAGAAAAUGAUGGUCUACCAAAUAUGGCGCAUGAGCCUUAAGGUGCACCUAGAGGGAAGUAGAAGAAAUAAAUAUAUAAUGGCAUAUGUUUAUCGCAAUGCAAGGUAAAGUGUAGAUGUGCUCUAACUGGGCUUAGAUUGCAGCGACACAUUAUGCAUCUACAAGGCUUGGUUGCACAUGGAAAAAGAUAGAGAGAGAAAUGUAGAUGCAGGACCGGGUGAAAAACAUUCAAUGAGACGUGAUUGCACGGACAUAGAACUAGAUAUAAGACAAGAGUUAAAGAAAAAUAAAGGAACUAAAUUUUCUUCUGCACACUAAGCAUGAAUGGAGUUGUAGUAUCUGAGAUCAAAAUUUAAUUUAUUCCAAGAUGCAGAACAAAAAUGUGAUACUCGUAAUGGUUACAUAGGAGCAAAAGUAGAUAAGAAAAAUAGCAAAAAGAUAGUGGUCUACCAGAGAGGGCACAUGUGCCUCAAUUGUCUUAUAGCAUAGCGACUCAUUAUCCUUCCACCGCUGGUGGCGGGCGGUACUCGCUGCUCUGUGAAGCCAGCCUCACGCAAUGUCCGCCACUUUAGGUGUUGGGAUGCAAAGACUUUCGCCAAGGCAUCCGAAACCCACUACACAACUUGGAAUGGGUGGUCCACUGUUUGUAGCACUAGACCCAGGCACAUGCACCACAAUUGACAUCCACACUACCUUAUUGCCCCGCUCGGGUUACAAGCAAUCGCUACUUGCUCAGCGAGUGAGGGGGUUCAAGACUACCUAUUUAAGGUGGUGUUGUACUCUAUGAGCCGGCGGUGUGGUAUUUACCAACUACAAAUAGUGUCAUGCAUGUGACUUGCUAGUUGACAAUGUCUGUUGUCAAGCUAGGUGUGGGCUAUGGAUGAAGCACAUUAGGAUAUAGUAGGCCUAUUUUGUUUUUUGUUGUUUUUGGGCCACUAUGGACUUUAUGUUGAUGUUGUGAAAUUUUUUUCUUGUGUUUCCUCUUCCUACGAUGUGGAAAGUGGGUGCGUCAGAGAAGAAAGAAAGAGUGGCUAGCAUUGAUUUUACGUCAUACCAUUGAGAACACUAAUCAGAAGCAGAAGCAACAAUAUUUCAUACAUAUACAACACUUGUAAUCCAUAUAAACAACAUUCCUUUAAAAUAUAAUAUAAACCACAUGAUUUAUAUCCUGGGUCGGCUAUCUCCACAAAGGGCAAGAAAACGCUCCAAGUUUGUAGUAUAGCACUAAAAGUGUCGAUUCUCACGAUUUCUUCCCGACAUAUACAAACUAGACAGUAAUCACAUAAAAUAAAGAAAUAUGUGUUAACACGAACUUAUAGCAUGUAUUUCAACAUAUAGAUUUUUGAUUAUUAUGGUAGAUUAUAUAAAAUAGGGGUUCCCGAAGAAAUACAUAAAAACAAGAGCAUUAAAAUUUCCUUUUCAGAUCUGGCUAUCUGGUAAAAGGAGUUGGAGUAACUGAGUUUCCAAAUUUGUGACGUAGCUCUAUAGAAGGAAUAUAAAUACGUUGGAAAAAUUCUAUAAGGAAAGGUUUAAUACAAGUAGGGCUAAGAAAAACUCAAUGAGGCUUUGGUCGCAUGGUCACAAAACUUGAGACAAGAAACACGAAGACACCAAGGUAAUUAGUAUGAGAGUUUUCCAAAUUUGGUGUCUUGAUGUAGAAAAAAUAAAUAUAUGACAAAUUUGUUUUUUCGCAAGGCAUGGAUAAAUAAGUGGGGGUGAGCAAUAAAUUUCAUCCUAGAUUUAGAAGGAAUAAAUAUAUCACUAAAUACAUUUUUUCACAAUGCCAAAUUAAUCAGGUGGGAGCGAGAAACAAUUGUAGCGAGGCUAGGUUGUACUAGCCCAAAACUACAUACAACAGAGGAAAAAUGAAGAAAAUGAUGGUCUACCAAAUAUGGCGCAUGAGCCUUAAGGUGCACCUAGAGGGAAGUAGAAGAAAUAAAUAUAUAAUAGCAUAUGUUUUUCGCAAUGCAUGGUAAAGUGUAGAUGUGCUCUAACUGGGCUUAGAUUGCAGCGACACAUUAUGCAUCUACAAGGCUUGGUUGCACAUGGAAAAAGAUACAAAAAGAAAUGUAGACGCAGGACCGGGAGAAAAACAUUCAAUGAGACGUGAUUGCACGGACAUAGAACUAGAUAUAAGACAAGAGUUAAAGAAAAAUAAAGGAACUAAAUUUUCUUCUGCACACUAAGCAUGAAUGGAGUUGUAGUAUCUGAGAUCAAAAUUUAAUUUAUUCCAAGAUGCAGAACAAAAAUUUGAUACUCGUAAUGGUUACAUAGGAGCAAAAGUAGAUAAGAAAAAUAGCAAAAAGAUAGUGGUCUACCAGAGAGGGCACAUGUGCCUCAAUUGGCCUAUAGCAUAGCGACUCAUUAUCCUUCCACCGCUGGUGGCGGGCGGUACUCGCUGCUCUGUGAAGCCAGCCUCACACAAUGUCCGCCACUUUAGGUGUUGGGAUGCAAAGGCUUUCGCCAAGGCAUCCGAAACCCACUACACAACUUGGAAUGGGUGGUCCACUGUUUGUAGCACUAGACCCAGGCACAUGCACCACAAUUGACAUCCACACUACCUUAUUGCCCCGCUCGGGUUACAAGCAAUCGCUACUUGCUCAGCGAGUGAGGGGGUUCAAGACUACCUAUUUAAGGUGGUGUUGUACUCUAUGAGCCGGCGGUGUGGUAUUUACCAACUACAAAUAGUGUCAUGCAUGUGACUUGCUAGUUGACAAUGUCUGUUGUCAAGCUAGGUGUGGGCUAUGGAUGAAGCACAUUAGGAUAUAGUAGGCCUAUUUUGUUUUUUGUUGUUUUUGGGCCACUAUGGACUUUAUGUUGAUGUUGUGAAAUUUUUUUCUUGUGUUUCCUCUUCCUACGAUGUGGAAAGUGGGUGCGUCAGAGAAGAAAGAAAGAGUGGCUAGCAUUGAUUUUACGUCAUACCAUUGAGAACACUAAUCAGAAGCAGAAGCAACAAUAUUUCAUACAUAUACAACACUUGUAAUCCAUAUAAACAACAUUCCUUUAAAAUAUAAUAUAAACCACAUGAUUUAUAUCCUGGGUCGGCUAUCUCCACAAAGGGCAAGAAAACGCUCCAAGUUUGUAGUAUAGCACUAAAAGUGUCGAUUCUCACGAUUUCUUCCCGACAUAUACAAACUAGACAGUAAUCACAUAAAAUAAAGAAAUAUGUGUUAACACAAACUUAUAGCAUGUAUUUCAACAUAUAGAUUGUUGAUUAUUAUGGUAGAUUAUAUAAAAUAGGGGUUCCCGAAGAAAUACAUAAAAACAAGAGCAUUAAAAUUUCCUUUUCAGAUCUGGCUAUCUGGUAAAAGGAGUUGGAGUAACUGAGUUUCCAAAUUUGUGACGUAGCUCUAUAGAAGGAAUAUAAAUACGUUGGAAAAAUUCUAUAAGGAAAGGUUUAAUACAAGUAGGGCUAAGAAAAACUCAAUGAGGCUUUGGUCGCAUGGUCACAAAACUUGAGACAAGAAACACGAAGACACCAAGGUAAUUAGUAUGAGAGUUUUCCAAAUUUGGUGUCUUGAUGUAGAAAAAAUAAAUAUAUGACAAAUUUGUUUUUUCGCAAGGCAUGGAUAAAUAGGUGGGGGUGAGCAAUAAAUUUCAUCCUAGAUUUAGAAGGAAUAAAUAUAUCACUAAAUAUGUUUUUUCACAAUGCCAAGUUAAUCAGGUGGGAGCGAGAAACAAUUCUAGCGAGGCUAGGUUGUACUAGCCCAAAACUACAUACAACAGAGGAAAAAUGAAGAAAAUGAUGGUCUACCAAAUAUGGCGCAUGAGCCUUAAGGUGCACCUAGAGGGAAGUAGAAGAAAUAAAUAUAUAAUAGCAUAUAUUUUUCGCAAUGCAUGGUAAAGUGUAGAUGUGCUCUAACUGGGCUUAGAUUGCAGCGACACAUUAUGCAUCUACAAGGCUUGGUUGCACAUGGAAAAAGAUACAGAAAGAAAUGUAGACGCAGGACCGGGAGAAAAACAUUCAAUGAGACGUGAUUGCACAGACAUAGAACUAGAUAUAAGACAAGAGUUAAAGAAAAAUAAAGGAACUAAAUUUUCUUCUGCACACUAAGCAUGAAUGGAGUUGUAGUAUCUGAGAUCAAAAUUUAAUUUAUUCCAAGAUGCAGAACAAAAAUGUGAUACUCGUAAUGGUUACAUAGGAACAAAAGUAGUUAAGAAAAAUAGCAAAAAGAUAGUGGUCUACCAGAGAGGGCACAUGUGCCUCAAUUGGCCUAUAGCAUAGCGACUCAUUAUCCUUCCACCGCUGGUGGCGGGCGGUACUCGCUGCUCUGUGAAGCCAGCCUCACGCAAUGUCCGCCACUUUAGGUGUUGGGAUGCAAAGGCUUUCGCCAAGGCAUCCGAAACCCACUACACAACUUGGAAUGGGUGGUCCACAGUUUGUAGCACUAGACCCAGGCACAUGCACCACAAUUGACAUCCACACUACCUUAUUGCCCCCGCUCGGGUUACAAGCAAUCGCUACUUGCUCAGCGAGUGAGGGGGGGUCAAGACUACCUAUUUAAGGUGGUGUUGUACUCUAUGAGCAGGCGGUCUGGUAUUUACCAACUACAAAUAGUGUCAUGCAUGUGACUUGCUAGUUGACAAUGUCUGUUGUCGAGUUAGAUGUGGGCUAUGGAUGAAGCACAUUAGGAUAUAGUAGGCCUAUUUUGUUUUUUGUUGUUUUUGGGCCACUAUGGACUUUCUGUUGAUGUUGUGAAAUUUUUUCUUGUGUUUCCUCUUCCUACGAUGUGGAAAGUGGGUGCGUCAGAGAAGAAAGAAAGAGUGGCUAGCAUUGAUUUUACGUCAUACCAUUGAGAACACUAAUUAGAAGCAGAAGCAACAAUAUUUCAUACAUAUACAACACUUGUAAUCCAUAUAAACAACUUUCCUUUAAAAUAUAAUAUAAACCACAUGAUUUAUAUCCUGGGUCGGCUAUCUCUACAAAGGGCGAGAAAACGCUCCAAGUUUGUAGUAUAGAACUAAAAGUGUCGAUUCUCAUGAUUUUUCCGACAUAUACAAACUAGACAGUAAUCACAUAAAAUAAAGAAAUAUGUGUUAACACGAACUUAUAGCAUGUAUUUCAACAUACAUAUUGUUGAUUAUUAUGGUAGAUUAUAUAAAAUAGGGGUUCCCGAAGAAAUACAUAAAAACAAGAGCAUUAAAAUUUCCUUUUUAGAUCUGGCUAUCUGGUAAAAGGAGUUGGAGUAACUGAGUUUCCAAAUUUGUGACGUAGCUCUAUAGAAGGAAUAUAAAUACGUUGCAAAAAUUCUACAAGGAAAGGUUAAUACAAGUAGGGCUAAGAAAAACUCAAUUAGGCUUUGGUCGCAUGGUCACAAAACUUGAGACAAGAAACACGAAGACACCAAGGUAAUUAGUAUGAGAGUUUUCGAAAUUUGGUGUCUUGAUGUAGAAAAAAUAAAUAUAUGACAAACUUGUUUUUUCUCAAGGCAUGGAUUGAGAGCACCUAGAGGGGGGGGUGAAUAGGUGAUCCUGUGAAACUUGAAAACUUAAGCCACAAAACUUGGUUAAUCGUUAGCACAAUAAUUGCCAAGUGGCUAAAUAGGAAUCCUCAACAAAAUACAAUAACCAACAAAGAUCAAUCACAGAGAUGACACGGUGGUUAUCCCAUGGUUCGGCCAAGACCAACGCUUGCCUACUCCAUGUUGUGGCGUCCCAACGGACGAGGGUUGCAAUCAACCCCUCUCAAGCGGUCCAAAGACCCACUUGAAUACCACGGUGUUUUGCUUUGCUUAUCUUUAUCCCACUUGCGAGGAAUCUCCACAAAUUGGAGUCUCUCGCCCUUACACUUAAAGUUCACAAAGAAGCACGGAGUAAGGGAGGGAAGCAACACACACAAAUCCACAGCAAAAUGCGCACACACACGGCCAAGAAUCGAGCUCAAAAGACUAUCUCAAAGUUCUCACUAGAACGGAGCUCGAAUCACUGAGAAUGACAAACGAAUGCGCAAAGACUGAGUGUGGAUGAUCAAGAAUGCUCUAAGGUUGCUUGGUUUUUCUCCUCCAUGCGCCUAGGGGUCCCUUUUAUAGCCCCAAGGCGGCUAGGAGCCGUUGAGAACAAAUCUGGAAGGCCAUCCUUGCCUUCUGUCGUCGGGCGCACCGGACAGUCCGGUGCACACCGGACACUGUCCGGUGCCCGAUUUCCUUCCUUAAAUGGCGAAGCCGACCGUUGCAGAUGUGGGAGCCGUUGGCGCACCGGACAUGUCCGGUGCACACCGGACAGUCCGGUGCCCCCUUCCGACCGUUGGCUCGGCCACGUGUCGCGCGCGGAUUCCGUGGCCGACCGUUGGCCCGGCCGACCGUUGGCUCACCGGACAGUCCGGUGCACACCGGACAGUCCGGUGAAUUUUAGGCGUACGUCGCCGGUGAAUUCCCGAGAGCGGCCAGUUCGCUCGAGCCAGCCUGGCGCACCGGACACAGUCCGGUGCACCACCGGACAGUCCGGUGCCCCAGACCGAAACAGCCUCUUGGCUGUACACAGCCAACUCUUCUCUUUCCUUCUUCUUUUUGUUUCUGAUACUUAGACAAGUAUAUUAGUACACAAAACCAAUGUACUAAGACUUAGAAACAUACCUUUGCUCUUGAUUUGCACUUUGUCCAUUCAUGGGCAUAGAUUUACAUUUAAUUACUUGUGUUGGCACUCAAUCACCAAAAUACUUAGAAAUGGCCCAAGGGCACAUUUCCCUUUCAAUCUCCCCCUUUUUGGUGAUUUAUGCCAACACAACAUAAAGCAACUAGAACAAGUGCAAUAUUACUUCAAAUAAAAACUCAAAUUCAUUUUGAUUCAAUUUGGCAUAUAUGGAUCAUCCUUUGCCACCACUUGGUUUGUUUUUGCAAAUCAAACUCAAAAUCCUAUCUCUAAGUCAAAUCCACUUGUAGAGACAUAAAGAGAGGUUUUCCAUAGAAGAUUGAUUCAAGAUUCCAAAAACUCCCCCUUUUUCCCAUAAUCAACACUUCACCCCACAAGAGGCCAACUUUUGAUAAAAGAGACAAUGCAAGAGUAUUGACAAACCAAAAGCUCUAUCCUACUGUUUUCAAAGUUUCUCAAGUGGUAGCUGAUCCAUUUAUUGCUUUGGCCUUUAUUUUCUCCCCCUUUGGCGUCAAGCACCAAAACGGGAUCAAUCUUGGCCCUUUAACCCCAUUGCCUCACCAAAAUCUUCAAUUAAGAGCAAAUAGGCAAUAAGAGUUAAAAGAUGAACUUGGAAAAGUUACUCUUUUCAUCGGAGUGCAGUGGAAGUCUUGCAUGGUCCAAGUCCACCUUUUCCCUUUUAAUUCUCCUUCGAGACUAAAACAAGCAAACUCAAGCAUAUGGUUAGUCUCAAAGGGUCAAGUUGUAACACAUCUCCCCCUAAAACUGUGCAUCACUUUGCAACGGACUUGUGAGGUCCAGGGAGUGUUUGUACAACUUGAGCACCAUACUAAACAACAAAAUGCAAAAAGGAUCAUGAUCAAAAGCAUAAAUACAUGUAUGCUACAAUUCAAUCCAAGUUCCGCGAAUCUACGACAUUUAGCUCACUACGCAGCCUGCAAAAGGUCUUCUCAUCUAGAGGCUUGGUAAAGAUAUCGGCUAGCUGGUUCUCGGUGCUAACAUGAAACACUUCGAUAUCUCCCUUUUGCUGGUGAUCUCUCAAAAAGUGAUGCCGGAUGUCAAUGUGCUUUGUGCGGCUGUGUUCAACAGGAUUUUCCGCCAUGCGGAUAGCACUCUCAUUGUCACAUAGGAGUGGGACUUUGCUCAGAUUGUAGCCAAAGUCCCUGAGGGUUUGCCUCAUCCAAAGUAGUUGCGCGCAACACUGUCCUGCGGCAACAUACUCGGCCUCAGCGGUGGAUAGGGCAACGGAGGUUUGUUUCUUAGAGUUCCACGACACCAGGGACCUUCCUAAGAAUUGGCACGUCCCUGAUGUACUCUUCCUAUCGACCUUACAUCCAGCAUAGUCGGAAUCUGAGUUUCCAACCAAGUCAAAGGUAGACCCCUUUGGAUACCAGAGCCCGAAGCAAGGCGUAGCAACCAAAUAUCUAAGAAUUCGCUUCACCGCCACUAAGUGACACUCCUUAGGAUUGGAUUGAAAUCUAGCACACAUGCAUACGCUAAGCAUAAUAUCCGGUCUACUAGCACAUAAAUAAAGUAAAGACCCUAUCAUUGACCGGUAUGCUUUUUGAUCAACGGACUUACCUCCUUUGUUGAGGUCGGUGUGUCCGUCGGUCCCCAUCGGAGUCUUUGCGGGCUUGGCGUCCUUCAUCCCAAACCGCUUCAGCAGGUCUUGCGUGUACUUUGUUUGGGAGAUGAAGGUGCCGUCCUUGAGUUGCUUCACUUGAAACCCAAGGAAGUAGUUCAACUCGCCCAUCAUCGACAUCUCGAAUUUCUGCAUCAUAACCCUGCUAAACUCUUCACAAGACUUUUGGUUAGUAGAACCAAAUAUUAUGUCAUCGACAUAAAUUUGGCACACAAACAAAUCACCAUCACAUGUCUUAGUAAAAAGAGUUGGAUCGGCUUUCCCAACCUUGAAGGCAUUUGCAAUUAAAAAGUCUUUAAGGCAUUCAUACCAUGCUCUUGGGGCUUGCUUAAGUCCAUAGAGCGCCUUAGAGAGCUUACACACGUGGUCGGGGUACCGUUCAUCCUCGAAGCCAGGGGGUUGCUCUACGUACACCUCCUCCUUGAUUGGCCCGUUGAGGAAAGCGCUCUUCACAUCCAUUUGGAACAACCUGAAAGAAUGGUGAGCGACAUAUGCUAGCAAGAUACGAAUUGAUUCUAGCCUAGCCACAGGAGCAAACGUCUCCUCAAAGUCCAAACCUGCGACUUGGGCAUAACCUUUUGCCACAAGUCGAGCCUUGUUCCUCGUCACCACCCCGUGCUCGUCCUGUUUGUUGCGGAAUACCCACUUGGUUCCCACAACGUUUUGCUUGGGACGAGGCACCAGUGUCCAAACUUCAUUUCGCUUGAAGUUGUUGAGUUCCUCCUGCAUGGCUAACACCCAGUCCGGAUCUAGCAAGGCCUCUUCUACCCUGAAAGGCUCAAUAGAAGAGACAAAGGAGUAAUGCUCACAAAAAUUAACUAAUCGAGAUCGAGUAGUUACUCCCUUGCUAAUAUCACCCAGAAUUUGGUCGACGGGAUGAUCCCUUUGAAUCAUCGCUCGAACUUGGGUUGGAGGUGCCGGUUGUGCUUCUUCCUCCAUCACAUGAUCAUCUUGUGCUCCCCAUUGAUCACACUCCUCUUGAUGAACCUGUUCAUCGUUUUGAGUUGGGGGAUGCAUCAUUGUUGAGGAAGAAGGUUGAUCUUGCUCCAAUUGUUCCUGUGGUCGCACAUCACCAAUCGCCAUGGUGCGCAUAGCGGCCGUUGGAACGUCUUCUUCAUCUAAAUCAUCAAGAUCAACAACUUGCUCUCUUGGAGAGCCAUUAGUCUCAUCAAAUACAACGUCGCUAGAGACUUCAACCAAACCCGAUGAUUUGUUGAAGACUCUAUACGCCUUUGUAUUUGACUCAUAACCUAACAAAAACCCUUCUACAGCUUUGGGAGCAAACUUAGAAUUUCUACCCUUCUUUACUAGAAUGUAGCACUUGCUCCCAAAUACACGAAAGUAAGAUACAUUGGGUUUGUUACCGGUUAGUAGCUCAUACGAAGUCUUCUUGAGGAGGCGAUGAAGGUAGACCCUGUUGAUGGCGUGGCAAGCCAUGUUCACGGCUUCCGACUAGAAACACUCGGGGGUCUUGAAUUCUCCAAGCAUCGUCCUCGCCAUAUCGAUUAGUGUCCUGUUCUUCCUCUCUACCACACCAUUUUGCUGUGGUGUGUAGGGAGCGGAGAACUCGUGCUUGAUCCCUUCCUCCUCAAGGAACUCCUCCACUUGAAGAUUCUUGAAAUCGGACCCGUUGUCGCUCCUUAUCUUCUUCACCUUGAGCUCAAACUCAUUUUGAGCUCUCCUAAGGAAGCGCUUGAGGGUCCCUUGGGUUUCAGACUUAUCCUGCAAAAAGAACACCCAAGUGAAGCGGGAAAAGUCAUCGACAAUAACUAGACCAUACUUACUUCCCCCUAUGCUCAGAUAGGCGACGGGUCCGAAGAGGUCCAUAUGCAGCAGCUCCAGGGGUCUUGAAGUGGUCAUCACAUUCUUGCUGUGAUGCGCUCCUCCCACUUGUUUACCUGCUUGACAAGCUGCACAAGGUCUAUCUUUUUCGAAUUGUACGUUAGUCAAACCUAUCACGUGUUCUCCCUUUAGAAGCUUGUGAAGGUUCUUCAUCCCCACAUGUGCUAAGCGGCGAUGCCACAGCCAGCCCAUGCUAGUCUUAGCAAUUAAGCAUGCAUCUAGACCGGCCUCUUCUUUUGCAAAAUCAACUAAGUAAAGCUUGCCGUCUAAUACACCCUUAAAAGCUAGUGAACCAUCACUUCUUCUAAAGACAGACACAUCUACAUUUGUAAAUAGACAGUUAUAUCCCAUAUUGCAUAAUUGACUAACAGAUAACAAAUUAUAUCCAAGAGACUCUACUAAAAACACAUUAGAGAUAGAGUGCUCAUUAGAAAUUGCAAUUUUACCUAACCCUUUUACCUUGCCUUGAUUCCCAUCACCGAAUAUAAUUGAAUCUUGGGAAUCCUUAUUCUUGACGUAGGAGGUGAACAUCUUCUUCUCCCCCGUCAUAUGGUUUGUGCAUCCGCUGUCGAUAAUCCAGCUUGAACCCCCGGAUGCAUAAACCUGCAAGGCAAAUUUAGGCUUGGGACUUAGGUACCCAACUCUUGUUGGGUCCUACAAGGUUAGUCACAAUUUCCUUAGGGAUCCAAAUGCAAGUUUUAUCACCCUUGCAUUUUGCCCCUAACUUCCUAGCAAUCACCUUUCUAUCCUUUCUACAAAUUGCAAAGGAAGCAUUCAAAGCAUGAUAUAUUGUAGAAGGCUCAUUAACUUUCCUAGGCACAUUAACAACAUUUCUCCUAGGCAUAUUAUGAACAACAUUUCUCCUACCAACGUUCCUAUCAUGCUCAUAGAAAGAACUAGAAGCAACCAUGUCAUGAUAAACAUAUGAAUCAAAAACAUUAUAACUUCUAUUUGCAUUUCUAGUAUGUCUCCUAUCAUGAUACAUAAAAGCAUGGUUCUUUUUAGCACUACCAGCCAUAGGGGCCUUCCCUUUCUCCUUGGCGGAAAUGGGAGCCUUAUGGCUUGUUAAGUUCUUGGCUUCCCUCUUGAAGCCAAGUCCAUCCUUAAUUGAGGGAUGUCUACCAAUCGUAUAGGCAUCCCUUGCAAAUUUUAAUUUAUCAAAUUCGCUUUUGCUAGUCUUAAGUUGGGCAUUAAGACUAGCCACUUCAUCAUUCAAUUUAGAAAUUGAAACUAGGUGUUCACUACAAGCAUCAACAUUAAAAUCUUUACACCUAGUGCAAACCAUAACAUGUUCUACACAAGAGUUAGAUUUACUAGCCACUUCUAGUUUAGCAUUUAAAUCAUUAUUAACACCUUUUAAAGUAGCAAUGGUUUCAUGACAAGAAGAUAAUUCACUAGAAAGCACUUCAUUUCUUUUAACUUCUAAAGCAUAAGAUUUUUGUGCCUCUACAAAUUUGUCAUGCUCUUCAUAUAAAAGAUCCUCUUGUUUUUCUAAGAGUCUAUCCUUUUCAUUCAAGGCAUCAAUCAAUUCAUUAAUCUUUUCUACUUUAGUUCUAUCCAAUCCCUUGAACAAACUAGAGUAAUCUAUUUCUUCAUCACUGGACUCAUCAUCACUAGAAGAAUCAUAAGUGACAUUGUUUUGAUUGCAUACCUUCUUCUCCCUUGCCAUAAGGCAUGUGUGACGCUCGUUGGGGAAGAGGGAUGACUUGUUGAAGGCGGUGGCGGCGAGUCCUUCAUUGUCGGAGUCGGAGGAGAAGCAAUCUGAAUCCCACUCCUUUCCGAUAUGUGCCUCGCCCUUGGCCUUCUUGUAAUGCUUCUUCUUCUCCCUUUUGUUCCCCUUUUCCUGGUCACUUUCAUUAUCGGGACAGUUAGCAAUGAAAUGACCAAUCUUACCGCAUUUGAAGCACGAGCGCUUCUCCUUUGUCUUGGUCUUGCUUGGCUGUCCCUUGCGACCUUUAAGCGCCGUCUUGAAGCGCUUAAUGAUGAGGGCCAUCUCCUCAUUAUUUAGCCCGGCCGCCUCAACUUGCGCCACCUUGCUCGGUAGCGCCUCCUUGCUCCUCGUUGCCUUGAGAGCAAUGGGUUGAGGCUCAUGAAUAGGACCGUUCAACGCGUCGUCCACAUAUCUUGCCUCCUUGAUCAUCAUUCGCCCGCUUACGAACUUCCCCAGAACUUCUUCGGGCGACAUCUUGGUGUACCUAGGAUUUUCACGAAUAUUGUUCACCAAAUGAGGAUCAAGAACGGUAAAGGACCUUAGCAUUAGGCGGACGACGUCGUGAUCCGUCCAUCGCGUGCUUCCGUAGCUCCUUAUUUUGUUGAUAAGGGUCUUGAGCCGGUUGUAUGUUUGAGUUGGCUCCUCGCCCCUUAUCAUUGCGAACCGUCCAAGCUCGCCCUCCACCAACUCCAUCUUGGUGAGUAAGGUGACAUCGUUCCCCUCAUGAGAGAUCUUGAGGGUGUCCCAGAUCUGCUUGGCAUUGUCCAAGCCGCUCACCUUAUGGUACUCGUCCCUGCACAAAGAGGCUAGCAACACAGUAGUAGCUUGUGCAUUUUUAUGAAUCUGUUCAUUAAUAAACAUGGGACUAUCCGUACUAUCAAAGUGCAUUCCACUUUCUACAAUCUCCCAUAUGCUAGGAUGGAGAGAGAACAAGUGACUACGCAUUUUGUGACUCCAAAAUCCGUAGUCCUCUCCAUCAAAAUGAGGAGGUUUACUAAGUGGAAUAGAUAAUAACUGAGCAUUAGUACUUUGAGGAAUACGAGAGUAAUCAAAAGAAAAGUACGAAUUGACCGGUUUCUUUCUCUCGUAUUCGUUGUGGUCGUCGUCCUUUUGGGAGGAAGUAGACUCAUCGCUGUCGUAGUAGACGAUCUCCUUGAUGUGUCUUGUCUUCUUCUUCUUCCCAUCUUUGCGUCUGUGGCCCGAGCCCGAGUCGUUGGACUUGUCAUCCCUUGGCUCGUUGACGAAGGACUCCUUCUCCUUGUCGUUGAUCACGAUUCCCUUCCCUUUAGGAUCCAUCUCUUCGGGCGGUUAGUCCCUUUGUGAAGAGAACGGCUCUGAUACCAAUUGAGAGCACCUAGAGGGGGGGUGAAUAGGUGAUCCUGUGAAACUUGAAAACUUAAGCCACAAAACUUGGUUAAUCGUUAGCACAAUAAUUGCCAAGUGGCUAAAUAGGAAUCCUCAACAAAAUACAAUAACCAACAAAGAUCAAUCACAGAGAUGACACGGUGGUUAUCCCGUGGUUCGGCCAAGACCAACGCUUGCCUACUCCACGUUGUGGCGUCCCAACGGACGAGGGUUGCAAUCAACCCCUCUCAAGCGGUCCAAAGACCCACUUGAAUACCACGGUGUUUUGCUUUGCUUAUCUUUAUCCCACUUGCGAGGAAUCUCCACAAAUUGGAGUCUCUCGCCCUUACACUUAAAGUUCACAAAGAAGCACGGAGUAAGGGAGGGAAGCAACACACACAAAUCCACAGCAAAAUGCGCACACACACGGCCAAGAAUCGAGCUCAAAAGACUAUCUCAAAGUUCUCACUAGAACGGAGCUCGAAUCACUGAGAAUGACAAACGAAUGCGCAAAGACUGAGUGUGGAUGAUCAAGAAUGCUCUAAGGUUGCUUGGUUUUUCUCCUCCAUGCGCCUAGGGGUCCCUUUUAUAGCCCCAAGGCGGCUAGGAGCCGUUGAGAACAAAUCUGGAAGGCCAUCCUUGCCUUCUGUCGUCGGGCGCACCGGACAGUCCGGUGCACACCGGACACUGUCCGGUGCCCGAUUUCCUUCCUUAAAUGGCGAAGCCGACCGUUGCAGAUGUGGGAGCCGUUGGCGCACCGGACAUGUCCGGUGCACACCAGACAGUCCGGUGCCCCCUUCCGACCGUUGGCUCGGCCACGUGUCGCGCGCGGAUUCCGCGGCCGACCGUUGGCCCGGCCGACCGUUGGCUCACCGGACAGUCCGGUGCACACCGGACAGUCCGGUGAAUUUUAGGCGUACGUCGCCGGUGAAUUCCCGAGAGCGGCCAGUUCGCUCGAGCCAGCAUGGCGCACCGGACACUGUCCGAUGCACCACCGGACAGUCCGGUGCCCCAGACCGAAACAGCCUCUUGGCUGUACACAGCCAACUCUUCUCUUUCCUUCUUCUUUCUGUUUCUGAUACUUAGACAAGUAUAUUAGUACACAAAACCAAUGUACUAAGACUUAGAAACAUACCUUUGCUCUUGAUUUGCACUUUGUCCAUUCAUGGGCAUAGAUUUACAUUUAAGCACUUGUGUUGGCACUCAAUCACCAAAAUACUUAGAAAUGGCCCAAGGGCACAUUUCCCUUUCAUGGAUAAAUAAGUGGGGGUGAGCAAUAAAUUUCAUCCUAGAUUUAGAAGGAAUAAAUAUAUCACUAAAUACGUUUUUUUUUACAAUGGCAAGUUAAUCAGGUGGGAGCGAGAAACAAUUCUAGCGAGGCUAGGUUGUACUAGCCCAAAAUUACAUACAACAGAGGAAAAAUGAAGAAAAUGAUGGUCUACCAAAUAUGGCGCAUGAGCCUUAAGGUGCACCUAGAGGGAAGUAGAAGAAUAAAUAUAUAAUAGCAUAUGUUUUUCGCAAUGCAAGGUAAAGUGUAGAUGUGCUCUAACUGGGCUUAGAUUGCAGCGACACAUUAUGCAUCUACAAGGCUUGGUUGCACAUGGAAAAAGAUAGAGAGAGAAAUGUAGACGCAGGACCGGGAGAAAACAUUCAAUGAGACGUGAUUGCACGGACAUAGAACUAGAUAUAAGACAAGAGUUAAAGAAAAAAAGGAACUAAAUUUUCUUGUGCACACUAAGCAUGAAUGGAGUUGUAGUAUCUGAGAUCAAAAUUUAAUUUAUUCCAAGAUGCAGAACAAAAACGUGAUAUUCGUAAUGGUUACAUAGGAACAAAAGUAGAUAAGAAAAAUAGCAAAAAGAUAGUGGUCUACCAGAGAGGGCACAUGUGCCUCAAUUGGCCUAUAGCAUAGUGGCUCAUUAUCCUUCCACCGCUGGUGGCGGGCGGUACUCGCUGCUCUGUGAAGCCAGCCUCACGCAAUGUCCGCCACUUUAGGUGUUGGGAUGCAAAGGCUUUCGCCAAGGCAUCCGAAACCCACUACACAACUUGGAAUGGGUGGUCCACAAUUUGUAGCACUAGACCCAUACACAUGCACCACAAUUGAUAUCCACACUACCUUAUUGCCCCCGCUCGGGUUACAAGCAAUCGCUACU